rnacentral:rRNA from 1 species
GUAUGGGGAUCUGCCCGAUAGAGGGGGAUAACUACUGGAAACGGUGGCUAAUACCGCAUAAUGUCUACGGACCAAAGCAGGGGCUCUUCGGACCUUGCACUAUCGGAUGAACCCAUAUGGGAUUAGCUAGUAGAUGGGGUAAAGGCUCACCUAGGCGACGAUCUCUAGCUGGUCUGAGAGGAUGAUCAGCCACACUGGGACUGAGACACGGCCCAG